CAAUACCCACAUGAAGAAGUGUGUUAUACACAAGCUCCUUCAUUUAAAAUUAAAGGAUGUGGGCAAAAAUAAGGUUGUCCAUUAAAAUUUGUAUGUUCUUUUCAGAGUCAGUUCUGGAUUUUUGCCACAUGGAAGAUCUUGCCUAGCGUUCAGAUUGAAUUGCACCAAAGUGUGGUAAAAAUGUAAAUGAAAACUGUACAGACAGCCAUGGGAAUCACAUGUGAACCCUGCCACUAAACAAAUUGAAUUUCAAAAGCUGAAUUCCAAAUUCAUCUCUCAGACAAGUCUUCUCAAUCUACCAAAGAUGCCUCAUAUAUGUUGCAAUGAUGAGACUUGCCACUCAGAAGCUGUAAGAGAAGAUCCUCUUGGAGCACAGAUAGCUUGUGAAAUUAAAACACUGCGUAGUGGACGUCAAAGUGCUGUCAGAAGAAUCUGUCCAGUGGGAAUGUUGGCACCAGAGAAAGGGUACCUGUGAUAAUAUAUAAUUUUAAUUGGACUGUGUCAUGACAGGCUGACCAGAUGCCAAUAAAAAAGCCUAUGGAAAAAAUAUUAUGAAAGGAGGACAAGGAUGUAAUGUUGCAGUAUCUUCUGUGAUCAGUGCAGGAUGCUCUGAUAAGAAACUUGGUAAAUGUGGAGAAAGCGUGCAGCACUGCCAUUGAAGAGGAGGUGGGAAUGGGCUGCCAUAGGGUUUCUCCUUGAGGAAUCUCCUGUUAAACCUCCAGUAUUACAGAUAGCUGCGCAAAAGGAUCCCCAAAACUUCAAUGCAAAGGCAUGAUUGAAAAUCCCUAUAUGGAACUCACAGUUUAAGAUAGUCUUAAACAAACAAACAAACAAACACACAAAAUGACCCCCCUGUAUAAUCACUUUUGGGCUUUGAUGGUCUUUAUCUCAUAGACAGGGGACCUGAGGUGUUAUCACCAGCCUCAGCUGUUAGUUUAAAUCUGCAUGCAGAAGCCCCUAGGGCUGCCCCACACCUCAAGGACUGGGGAGCUAAGACCAGCCUAAUCUCGUGGGAAGGUUCAGUGAGAAAUCUUUUCAGAGCUGCUACUUGUGUUUUCCAUUCCCAUGCAGCAACCACAAGCCGCUUCCACCUCAUUUCUCUUUUACAGGCUCUUCAGCCUACUCAGAAGAGACCCAGAACCCACCUAAUGCUCUUUUUGAGUCAAACUUGAAUUUGAAACAAAUACUCUUCUGUUCUUCUUUUUGUGAACAUGAAUGGUGCCUGAUGCAGGUCACUUGUCAGAAAUGGCACAAGAAUAAGGAAAAGCAAUUUCAUCAUUUUGUGCUUUCAUAAAGGGUAAACUAAUAACUUAUGCAAAAAGCUGUGCGUAUGGUAUACUGUUUGAGAAUAUAAUCACUUUGUUAUACACUCUGUCCUGCAAGGUGCUGCAACUCAUAUCCUGUCCAAUAAAAUAGGUACGCCUAUUGAUUUGAAAGCUUGUGCUUCAUUGUUAUGUUGGACGGGGAUCAGGUUUUGUGGCUGUAAGUUGAACCUAACUACUUAAAAAGGAGGUUUUAUCAGUCAUUUUGCAAGUGAUGUCUGUUAGCUCUGGUGAGGCUACUUUGUUCUGUUUCAGGUUAGGGAAAUGAAUGUGUACGUUAUGGUAUUGAGAGGUUGUUGAGCUAAAAUAAUAAUAACUAAAAAAUACAGUAAAUUGGAUGUUCUAGAGCCCCAGGGGAUUGAUUAGGGCUUGUAAUAUGGUAUAAAGAAAGUUUCUACUAUUUGGGGUUUUUCCAAAAAUAAAAUAUGUGUAAUGUUGGUAGUUGCAAUAUUUUUAAUUGGUGUGUUUAUUUUGUUUUGAGACUCAACAUUAA